rnacentral:rRNA from 1 species
AUUGAACGCUGGCGGCAGGCCUAACACAUGCAAGUCGAGCGGAUGAAGGGAGCUUGCUCCUGGAUUCAGCGGCGGACGGGUGAGUAAUGCCUAGGAAUCUGCCUGGUAGUGGGGGAUAACGUCCGGAAACGGGCGCUAAUACCGCAUACGUCCUGAGGGAGAAAGUGGGGGAUCUUCGGACCUCACGCUAUCAGAUGAGCCUAGGUCGGAUUAGCUAGUUGGUGGGGUAAAGGCCUACCAAGGCGACGAUCCGUAACUGGUCUGAGAGGAUGAUCAGUCACACUGGAACUGAGACACGGUCCAGACUCCUACGGGAGGCAGCAGUGGGGAAUAUUGGACAAUGGGCGGAAGCCUGAUCCAGCCAUGCCGCGUGUGUGAAGAAGGUCUUCGGAUUGUAAAGCACUUUAAGUUGGGAGGAAGGGCAGUAAGUUAAUACCUUGCUGUUUUGACGGUACCAACAGAAUAAGCACCGGCUAACUUCGUG